rnacentral:rRNA from 1 species
GUCCUUUUGUUAUAUAUAUAAGGUUUAACCUGCCCACUGAAUAAUUUAAAUGGCCGCAGUAUUUUAACUGUGCAAAGGUAGCAUAAUCAUUAGUUUUUUAAUUAAAAGCUUGUAUGAAAGGUUGGACGAGGUAAAGACUGUCUUUAUUUAAUUAAUUAUAAAAUUUAAUUUUUAAGUUAAAAAGCUUAAAUUUUUUUAAAAGACGAGAAGACCCUAUAGAUCUUUAUAUUUAAUAUUUUAUUUUUAAUUAAGAUUUAUUUAAGUUUUAUUAUAUUGAAUAUUUUAUUGGGGUAAUAAGAAGAUUAAAAAAAUUCUUUUAUUUUUUAUUCAUUGAUUAGUGUUUAAAUGAUCCAAUUUUAUUGAUUAUAAGAAUAAGUUACCUUAGGGAUAACAGCGUAAUUUUUUUAGAGAGUUCAUAUCGAUAAAAAAGUUUGCGACCUCGAUGUUGGAUUAAAGAUUAAUUUAGGUGUAGAUGUUUAAAUUUUUGGUCUGUUCGACCAUUAAAUCUUUACAUGAUCUGAGUUCAGACCGGUGUAAGCCAGGUCGGUUUCUAUCUUUAAUAAUAUAAUAUA